UUGCUGAUCCUCAGCCACCUCUAUGGGAUUGGGAGCAGCUGAAUUGGCCGUGAGUGAAGCCAUGGCCUGCGGCUCCACCAUGCAGCCUCAUUACAUGAAGUCUAAUGCUUGUCCCAAGUGAAAAGGGACAUGUAUGACAGUGUUUUACCUUCAAAAGUAGCAUAGAUAAUUUUUUCUCAUCAAGAGGUCAUGAAUGUAAUAAAGCCAUAAGUAAAAUAUUUAAUGGCAUGUAAAAUAGAAUUGUUAAUUAAGAAACGUAAACUAGGAGCUGGUUCUACAAAAGUCAAUGAAGAGACCAAAUAGGGGAUUGGUCAUACUAAGUUGUGGACGUCAAUUUGCCACAUUGAUGUAAUCAAUUUCCAGAUGACAGAUUAAUUUAGAGAAUUUUACUUAAUUAAUUCAGCUUUGAGGUAUCACCUUCACCGAAUUUCCAACCCUUUGAAUAUUUGUCUUUGUAGAAUUCAAUAGCUAAGGUUGAAAAUCGGAAAUUAAGGACAAUGCAAAGAUGAACAAGUAAAUAAUUAAAAAGAAUAUCCUGUGCCAAUAUGAAAUAGUUACAAUGGGAAUAGCAAAUAGUACGAAGAAAAAUAUAAGUUCUGCACAUCCAAAAUGAAAAAAAUAGCUAAGAAAUUUAUUCACUUCAUCUCUAGAAUAGAGCAAUGUAAACGAAAGCCCAACCUCCCACCGGCAUAAAAAAAAUAAAAAUCUACAAGAGAAGACUACAAACUGAAAAAUUAAAAUG
rnacentral:lncRNA from 1 species